AGCCUGCAGUCUGGAAAUCAACGGAGAAGACUGUGGAUUCUUGGAACUGUGACUUCGCAGUGCGUGAGAAGACAAGACAGAGCUGAAACAAUGCGCAGCCCCAGAGCAGGGAGAAGGGGCUGCUGGUGCUGGCUUUCGGUUCAUGGCGUCUAAGACCCCCAUUUCAAGGAAGAAUGGGGAAGGAGUCCAUGGAAGAAUCACGGAAGGAUUAUGGAUAGUAACUAUUCUCUCAUCGUGAGAGUCCUUGGAGUCAGGACUUGAGAACCGGGGAGAGCGUAGAUGACCCCGGGUGCAGCAACAACCGGGUUACAGCUGGGUGCUCAGCAUCCCUUCCACAUGGUUAAAGCCUCUCGCAUUGUCUCCUCCGACCUUCCAAACAGCCCUGCAGCACAGAUAAAUGCAAAAAUGUCCUCGGGUGAGGAUAAAAACAAAACCAAACCAAACAUCAGUUCAACGUUUCAAGAUCUGAAAGGUAGAAAACAGAGUCGGGCUCACACUCAUUCCCGCGUUCUUCACGAUGGGUUCCUGAAGGCUGGAAGGACGGACAGCGGCGGAAGGGACAGGCGUGAAUCCAAGGCAUGAGGCAGGCUGGAGGAGGAUUGCGGAAGCGAGAGAAGAUUG